AAUCACCUGCUAGAUAAAGUCACGUGAUCAGACUUGUCACAAAAGCUCUUCAAAUAUGAGCGAAUUAGCAUAAUGCAUAAUAACAAAAAGCAGGAUGGCAUUCCCAGCACCUGCCGAACGGUGUGAGCAAUGUCGAUAUGCGCUCAAUAUGGUUGCUGUAUUGUCAGGCGCUAAAUUAUUCUUUAGUUUCUCAUAAUAAUUCUGAUUGUGAGUAGAGUGGAUAGAGUCAAGAGAACGUUCGUCCAAAGAAGGAUAUCUAGCAGGCCCAAUGAAUGUGUUGAACUGUUAUGCAUUGCUUGUAAGAGUGUUUAGUUUGGUAACAGCAAAAUAAAUUCACAAUCAAAGAUCAACUGCAUGACUUGCAGUUGAUCAUGACGUCAGUUUCCACCAAACAUUGAUUGUUUUUUUUCUAUUUUAUAUGCAUUCUUGAGUACCCUUAUCUCUUAUACCUUGACAAGCAAUGAGUCAACAACAGUUUGAACAUCCUUCACUGAUUAUGGUAAAAAUUGCCUUGAAAUUCGAGUUACUGCUAGCCACAUGACCAGCUGUUUUAAAUAAAAAAUGUCCUUAUUUACCGACCAAUUAAAAAUAAGAUGAUUUUUCCACGAAUUUCAUUACCUUUUUCUUUAAAAAAGUAUGCUGUUUGCUUUCAUUGCAAGGUUUGAUUCUUAUAACAUUAUGUGUAUAUAACCACCCGAGUAGCAAAGUUAAAGAAACUCUCGCGAUAUACAUCGAAAAGUCUCAAAAUGUAUUUACAAAGUUUAAAUACCCUCUCAGUGACUAUUAAACAGUCAAGAGAAGGCUUGUUGAGUACCCAGGUUCAAAGGGUAGAAAUUUUCGGUUAAGGAGAAAACUCGGUUGUUUUUAAAGAAGUAUGCCUUAAAACAGGUUGAUACUUCUUGAAAUUAGUUGCCUAGAUGCAUUCAUUGCUCAAUCGUUUUUGUGUAUGAAGAAUUGAGUACACUAUGUCGUGUGAAGUGGGUCGAGGGGAACGCAUACAUCAAUAUAAAUAUAUAGUGAGCUACAUUUGACUGUCUGGAAGACAGAGGGAAAUUUCAGCCCUAGCACCGAUAGUGUCUUCUUUGUCAAGAUAACUGUUUCUAUGCAGGCUCAUCUUAGAACCGUGAAUAAAGAAGCCUCUUUGUCAGUAAAUGCAACAUAAAAAAUUGGAAUAGAGGCUUGAGAGGCAGUUUCCAUUACGACCUAAUUAACCUGGAGGUGAUGCAAACAACCACAAAGACAAUCAAUAGAAAUUGACGGUUUUCGUGAUCAGGGCUAUUUUUCAACUUGGUCAAGCACAGAAAAGUCCAGCACUGAUAUCUUUCUCUGGUUUUGAUAUUGCAAUUUCGACCAGGAUAUACAAUAAAAUCGGUCAUGUAACACGAAUCUGAAUUCACCACAAAAUCUCUAAUUAAGCCUCUGGAAGGCAUUUUCGCUUUUACGAAAGGGUAUGCUUAGAAGGUUUUAAUCAGCAGCUUAGUCUACGGCGUUAUGGUUAUCGCCUGCUUCUUUAGUGCUUCAAUGGACUAGGGAUACAAGAGACUAGGAAUGCAUCAAUGGAUACAAGAGAGGCUGUAAACAUGGCAUUCGGAAUUCAAGAGCUAUGUGAGGCGUUUCUCUGAAUCUCUAUACACUGUUUCCUCGAAGAAACAAUUCAUUGGUAUCUGCACUGCUGUAUUCUUAUGUCGAACAUCUUUUCAAAACAGCUUUUUCCAAUCUGGUAGUAUUUUAAAAGGCGACUUAUCUUCACAAUUGCGUCUAUGCACAAUGUUUCGGCUCAAUUGCCUCUGCGCGCGAUUUACUAGAUGAAUGAUUUCUCUGGUUGUGAGCCUCGCUUGCAUGCGUACUUCGUUUUGCAAUAUGCCAACCAGUUAACUAUACAAUCAUGCUUGUAUUAUUACAAAAAAUUUUAUUAUUUUCUGAAAGCAGUUUCAUGGUUACUAUCUGCACAAUACCAAGGAAUAUUUCAUCAAUAUAAUGUUCAGUAUCUUGUCAUUUAAUGAUACUUUAACAGAUUGCCAGAAGUUAACGGAGCAAGUCUUUCCUACAACAAAGUUUCUUAAUUGCUUGAAAAGGGCUUUUUAUUGCGUUAUCGUCAUUUUAUGACGUCAUAAUCCUAAAAAUGUUUAAAUAGUAGAAAAAUAACAGGACAGGAGUAUAUUUUGUUGAAUAAGAAGUGCUAUGGAAUCCAUUCUUUCUUAUCAUUGUCUUCUUUGCUUUAAAACCCAAAGAAAUUGGGUUCAACUCAUCUUCUUCUGCCUCAAGUUGACCACUGUAAUUUCCCAUGACCUGAUCUUCACUGUUUACGAAAUCUUCUGCAAUUUCAUCGCCAUAGCACUGCAGAUUUUGCUGCUGUUUGGUGGUGUAUGUCUGGGGCCCUUUUAGGUAUUAAAAUAAACUUUGUGAAAAGGGAUUUCGGGACAUUGGUGGCUGACUCCAAAAUUUUCUGCAGAUAUUCACAGCUUCUUUAAUUUAACAAUCGGGUACUGUUCGCGUCAAGUCGUUCAAAAACUUGUUUCCCUGUAUACCUUCUCAGUACCGUUUCCUUUUUAUUUAUCAAUAUAUGUAUUUGAAUUUGAAUAUAUAAAGAAUUUUUUUCCUUCAAACCACACUGGUAUGACCAGCUCAUUCUCUCAUUCGCAAGUCCAACAAAUACUUCAAAGUCAAUUUAUUUUAUAAUCUUCUCUUUUACAAUAAAUACAAUAGUAAAUGAUCUUCUCAGUGAGUCUCUAUGUGGCUGUAAAACUUUUGUGACUUGUUCUUCGUUGCCUUGCGUAGCUUUAUUCUUAUCUGCACAAGUGUUUCGUAACAUUUGCCUUUUUAUGAUAAUGUCUGCACAAAGGUGGUUGCAUUCGCGAUAAUUUCUUUGGCGAUUUCAUGGCUCAUCCCAACUCCCUCGAGCAGUUCUAUCUUUCCAGAACAAUUCUUUAACAUUUCAAAAUGUUUUCUUUCCUUGCUUAAAAAUAAUCUCACUCAUUUCUUUACAUAAAAAAGUUGCCGACUUUGUUAUACAGCCAGUAACUGCUUGUAUAGCCGGUAAACAUUUGAAAAUAUUUUCUUCCAGGUAAGUUAUAACUUUCAUGUAUCAACGUAGUUCUCGUGUUCAAUCUUUAAUAACCACUUUUGUAGAUUUUCAACGCAACAAGUGUACAACCACCAAGACAUACACAAUAGUGUCUUUUUCACGGCAUGCACGCAUGAAUCCUAGCUGCAUGCAUAACAAACUUCUAAGUUUUAUUAAGCUAAAAACAACAGAAACUUCAACAGUAAACUUAAGAAAAGAUCCUCGAUAUAAUGUAAAAACCUUAGGUAUAAUCAAUAAACGACAUAAUAUACUGCCAAGUUUUGCAGCGGAAAUCAAAUGUAGCUUAAUUAACUACAAGCUCGAGGUGGUCAACAUCGUAUUAGUGGGGUAUCAAAGGGAUAAGGAACUCUAUGGAGUGCUGUCCUAAGUUAUAAAAAGCCAUGGGUAUAAGUCAUUACUAAAAUCAUGAUACCACUGUCCAAGACGUAGCAAAUAUGCUUGUUACAAAGUGAAAAGAGUAUUGUCGCAUUCAACAAGCUAAGCAUCAAAACGAGGCUUGAGAAAACGAGCAGGUAAAAAGGCACCGGGCAGCAAGAAUACGCAAAUAUUCCAAUAAAUAAGUAAUAUGGAUCGUUCUUCAAGGAUUAAUCCUAGCCUGUCGCCAUAGUAACAUCGGUUUUAGAUAAAGAUUGAAAACAUCAGCUAAAUUAAAGCUGAAAGCAUGCUGAGGAUGCUCAAAUGAAUAAAGGAAACUCCCAAAAAGCAACAAUUCUUGCCAAACUGAUUGUUCUGUCCUGACAACUCUACUAGUAUAUUUCCUCCUUUCUCUGUGACAAUUUUAUGGAAAUCCAAUAUAAUAUGGCUGCGUGUGAGGACACCAUUGAACUGUGCAACUAGCAGUGUAUUGGGCAAUGGGGCAGGUAAUCAAAAAGGGUUUUAUAUGAAUUUCAUUGUGGUUUGAAACAUCAUUCAAAGGACAUUUCCUAGGAAACAACUAUAAUAUUGCACAUUCGAGCUUGAAAUGUGAGAACAGUGCAGGGCUUCUUCCCAAACUUAUCAUAGUAAGAGACUACAGUGGAUUGUUAUAGUUGCAGCAAGAUUGAAGAGUGGGGGUAGAGGUGGACGGGUGCGUGGCGAGAUGCUACUCGAGGGUAGUUGCAUUUUGAAUAGUAAAACAAAAAUAUAAAACAUGCGAUUUCGCAAGCGGAAGAAGUGUAGUUUUCAGCAGAUUAUAUAUUUAUAAAUAGGUGAGCAUUGAGUACCAGAAUUUGAGGAAAACAGGUUUUGUUGUCUAGACUUCUCUGUUCUAAUGACGUCAGCGGCCAUUGAUAACCUCUAACAACAACGUACAUUUGCUGAUUGUAUCUCUGUGAAUGUAUCUCUUGGUUGGUUACUUCGAAAGACCAGAUGGAUCUUUUACGACCAGAAGAGCCUGUUGUUAGCACAAAUUCCAGGGUACUUAGCGACUAAGAAUACGAAACGAGCACUGACUAGUGAAAACAUAAACAGUUCUUUGACCUGGAAAGCGUGCUGUAAACACACGAACUCCGAGAAAGAAAGACAAAAAAGUCACUUACUACCCAUGCCACGCUGCUACUACAAGAUACAUUUCAUUUACCUAGAAAUAACGAUCAUUUAUUAACUCCACCAAUUAAAACACGAAACCACAGCUGUGUGUGAUAUCACGUGACACGUUUUAAUCGCUAGCGCAUGCGUGAGUGAUAAACUUGAUAAACUAAGGAUAAACUUGUGGCAGCACAUAAUAUAAUGCUUGCUCCUUCUUCACUGGCAAUAACGAAGCAUCGGACCUUAGAAUUUUUACUGUGGUCAGAGGGAACCGCUGAAAAUGUAGUUAUCAGGAUAUUAAAAGUCCAAUAUAAAUCAAAAUAUAUAUAUCAAAAUAUAUAUAUCUUCUAACAUAACCAUCAUCACCUUUAACAAACUAUAUCAUGAUUUUUAUCAAUCAUUACAUAUUAAUGACUAACACAAUCUCUACAAAAACACAAUUCUCAUAUUACUGCUGUACAGGAAAACAUAUUUGAUACUCACAUAAAAGCAAUAUCUGGCAAAUUUUACACUGCAUUGCUUAAUAGUUCAGUGCCCAGAAAACAAAAACAGCGCUUCUAAUUUAUACAUAAUAAAAGCUUCUAAGUUAAAGCUAUCUGUCAACUCAUCUAAAAAUAUUUUAUUUUCUCAAAUAUGGUACCUUGGAUAUAUAAAUUUACAGUAAUUCUAAACUAUGAAUGUCCUACCAGGAAAUGCUUCUGCUAUCAGCUCUUAUGGUGUAGCUUCAAAACAGAUUAUUUUUGCAUUAUCGAUGGUGCCUUGGACAAUGUGAUUGAAAGAAGCCUGUGAAAGUUUCUUCUGUUUUCCCAAACUGUCGACGUAG